rnacentral:misc_RNA from 1 species
UUCAAGAUGAAUAAGCUGCUGGCUAAACAUAUCACAGCACUCGAUCCUUCAAAACAAGUUGAUCAAGCUAAAAGAUUGAAGGUUGAAGCUGAUUCCGUGGCUACUAAGGUUGAACAACCUGUCUCAUCCACUGUUACAAUAUCUGAUGCGCUCGCCAAAUUUUUUGAAAGUGAAGAAAAGGAGAUUCUCCAAACAGAUGCCGUGAAACGUAUUUGGGAUUAUAUAAAGCUUAACCAACUUGAGGAUCCUGUGAAUUCUACGAUGAUCGUGUGUGACCCAAAGCUUCAGGAACUCCUACAAUGUGAAAGCGUUUCUGCCACAGAAUUACCCGAGAUGCUGGCAGGUCGUCAUUUUGUCUAGCAAUGACUAUACGUCUAUAUAAUUAUGGUAUUUCAGGUCGUAGCUGCUUUAUUGUUCGAUGACACGAAGAUGUAUCUUGGUUUUUAGGUAAGUUCAGUUUAUUAACAUAGUUAGACAUCAUGAUAUGUAAUUAGAAAUCUGGGUUGAUCUGCUCCUGGCCUUAUGGCGACAAGUCGUUUUUGUAAUCAUGCCACGGCCUUGAUCUAGGUUCCCUAGCCUCCUUUGUUCUUGUAAAAUCCUGGCGUUCUUGAUAUAUACGGAUAGUAGGAACAUUAACAGAUCCUUAGCUUGUUCGAACUCGUUGGAAUUAAGAUGUACAUGUCAGGUCUACAAUAUACAUUGG